GACGAACCGUGCGAACGUUGUUCGGAAUCACUGGGCUUAAAGGGCGCGUAGGCGGAUUUGCAAGUCUGCGGUGAAAGCCUCCAGCUCAACUGGAGAAGUGCCGUGGAUACUGCGAAUCUCGAGGAGGGUAGGGGCAUCUGGAACGUUGGGUGGAGCGGUGAAAUGCGUUGAUAUCCAACGGAACUCCGGUGGCGAAGGCGAGGUGCUGGACCCUUUCUGACGCUGAGGCGCGAAAGCCAGGGGAGCGAACGGG
rnacentral:rRNA from 1 species